GAUGAACGCUAGCGGGAGGCCUAACACAUGCAAGCCGAGCGGUAUUGUUUCUUCGGAAAUGAGAGAGCGGCGUACGGGUGCGGAACACGUGUGCAACCUGCCUUUAUCUGGGGGAUAGCCUUUCGAAAGGAAGAUUAAUACUCCAUAACAUAUUGAUUGGCAUCAAUUAAUAUUGAAAGCUCCGGCGGAUAGAGAUGGGCACGCGCAAGAUUAGCUAGUUGGUGAGGUAACGGCUCACCAAGGCGAUGAUCUUUAGGGGGCCUGAGAGGGUGAUCCCCCACACUGGUACUGAGACACGGACCAGACUCCUACGGGAGGCAGCAGUGAGGAAUAUUGGUCAAUGGGUGCAAGCCUGAACUAGCCAUCCCGCGUGAAGGACGACUGCCCUAUGGGUUGUAAACUUCUUUUGUAUAGGGAUAAACCUACCCUCGUGAGGGUAGCUGAAGGUACUAUACGAAUAAGCACCGGCUAACUCCGUGCCAGCAGCCGCGGUAAUACGGAGGGUGCAAGCGUUAUCCGGAUUUAUUGGGUUUAAAGGGUCCGUAGGCGGACUUAUAAGUCAGUGGUGAAAGCCUGUCGCUUAACGAUAGAACUGCCAUUGAUACUGUAAGUCUUGAGUAUAUUUGAGGUAGCUGGAAUAAGUAGUGUAGCGGUGAAAUGCAUAGAUAUUACUUAGAACACCAAUUGCGAAGGCAGGUUACCAAGAUAUAACUGACGCUGAGGGACGAAAGCGUGGGGAGCGAACAGGAUUAGAUACCCUGGUAGUCCACGCCGUAAACGAUGCUAACUCGUUUUUGGGCUUUAGGGUUCAGAGACCAAGCGAAAGUGAUAAGUUAGCCACCUGGGGAGUACGCUCGCAAAAGUGAAACUCAAAGGAAUUGACGGGGGCCCGCACAAGCGGUGGAUUAUGUGGUUUAAUUCGAUGAUACGCGAGGAACCUUACCAAGACUUAAAUGGGAAUUGACAGCUUUAGAAAUAGAGCUUUCUUCGGACAAUUUUCAAGGUGCUGCAUGGUUGUCGUCAGCUCGUGCCGUGAGGUGUUAGGUUAAGUCCUGCAACGAGCGCAACCCCUGUCACUAGUUGCCAUCAUUCAGUUGGGGACUCUAGUGAGACUGCCUACGCAAGUAGAGAGGAAGGUGGGGAUGACGUCAAAUCAUCACGGCCCUUACGUCUUGGGCCACACACGUAAUACAAUGGCCGGUACAGAGGGCAGCUACACAGCGAUGUGAUGCAAAUCUCGAAAGCCGGUCUCAGUUCGGAUUGGAGUCUGCAACUCGACUCUAUGAAGCUGGAAUCGCUAGUAAUCGCGCAUCAGCCAUGGCGCGGUGAAAACGUUCCCGGGCCU
rnacentral:rRNA from 1 species